GACGAACGCUGGCGGCGCGCCUAACACAUGCAAGUCGAACGGAGUCAAGAGGAGCUUGCUUUUCUUGACUUAGUGGCGAACGGGUGAGUAACGCGUGAGUAACCUGCCCUGGAGUGGGGGACAACAGUUGGAAACGACUGCUAAUGCCGCAUAAGCCCACGGAUCUGCAUGGAUCUGCGGGAAAAGGAUUUAUUCGCUCUAGGAUGGACUCGCGUCCAAUUAGCUAGUUGGUGAGGUAACGGCCCACCAAGGCGACGAUUGGUAGCCGGACUGAGAGGUUGAACGGCCACAUUGGGACUGAGACACGGCCCAGACUCCUACGGGAGGCAGCAGUGGGGGAUAUUGCACAAUGGGGGAAACCCUGAUGCAGCGACGCCGCGUGGAGGAAGAAGGUUUUCGGAUUGUAAACUCCUGUCGUGAGGGACGAUAAUGACGGUACCUAACAAGAAAGCACCAGCUAACUACGUG
rnacentral:rRNA from 1 species